ensembl:lncRNA
ACAGAUCGCUCAGAGUCAACCGGGUAAAUAAUAGAGUCAUCGAGGUGGAUCCGGGAUCCGGGUUUUCCUUCUCUCCUCUAUCUCCUCCGAGCUCCCACUACUUUACCUUCACUCCUCCACUGUUCACUAUAGGAGAAUGAUGGUAUAUGAUUGGCUAGGCGGGGAACGGUAGUCCGGAGGCUGGCAUUCAGCGCGGUGUCGAUCCCCGUAUUCUUGUUUACACCUUACACCGUCCAAGGAGCGAAGGAGUGCGGACACCACCUCGGACCCACGGGAGGCUUGUUGGAAUACACCGGACACUACACCGGAGCGGCGAAGUUUAGCGCUACUUGAUGAGAGCGCGCGGGGGGAACACAGGCUGUGGCGGCGCGUUUGUUCUCUUUAUCGGGGAUCAGUGAUUGGGGAUCAGUGAUCGAGCAAACUUUUUUUUGGGGAGCUGUCAUCUCGCAAGGGGCGAAGCUUGGCAUGAGAGCCACCGGGGACGUCUUCAUAAAGUUGUCUCUUCGUUUGCGGAUGUUUUAACGCUCCUGCCCGACGCACCUCGUACCCAUUUCUUGCGGGGAAAUGUGUUCUUUAUCUUGACGUUGUCGCGUCAAGCAGCCUAAUUUUCCCGGAAAGAAAGGAACCGUCGCGAAUUAGUUGAAACCAGUCCCCCCAACACAACACCACCACCACUAGUGAAGAAAGAAACCAUGAAGCAAAAACGCUGCGCCAGAAACUAUUGAUAGACUUAUUUUUCUAUCGUAUAUUGUACAUCUACGAGAAAUCAUUCGGGAAAGAAGAGAGUGAAUUGAAGUGCUAGUGCUUGGUGCGUCGAUAGGUCCCGAGGCUAGCUGGGACGCUUCACUGUGGCAUAGCCCCGGAAAAGAUGCUCUCUCUACGGCUGCGGCGUGAAAGGGGUCUCGGUCCUCUGGUGCUUCUCCUCCUGGUGGCUGGACACGCUGUCGCUGACUCGGCUGGCUGCCAUCCUGAUUGGACAGAAGGAGCGGUUAUGUCAUCGUGCCUCUACACACCGCGGGGCGGUCAAACGCCUCCAGACGCGCUAUGUAUACACACCGC